rnacentral:tRNA from 1 species
AUAAGCUUAGUUAAAUCUAUAACAUUAGUUUGUCAAUCUAAAAUUGCUAAACAUGCAACUUAUA